rnacentral:lncRNA from 1 species
AAGUGUGUUUCUAUGUUGAAAUUCCAAUUUAUUGUUUCGGUUAUGUGAAUAGAGCAUGGUAAUUAGCUAAUGUGAAAUUAGAGAUUUUGUUAAGAAGAAUAAUUCUCAGUUGUUAUUGAUAGAGCCAAAAGGCUAAGUAUUUAUAGAGAUAUUACAAGCUUAACUAGGAAAACUAGGUUACUUGGAGACUACUCCAAAUCAAUUACAAU